AUUAGCUAUAGAGACAGGAAGCGUUUAUUCUGCUCUAAAUCUGGGGUUCUUAAGAUGCCGGUCUAUGGAGAUCGUCCAUGGAGACUUGCUUUUGAGGCCUGCUUCAAGUGGUAAUUUGAGGAAGUGCAGUGUUUUGCACUUUCACUUUUUCAUCUGCUUGCAUCUGCCACUGUUAACAUGGAUGAGUACGCGUGCUCAGAAUCAUGGGAAGCCAACCGUUGACCCAUGACUACGUACAUGUUGGGAUGAAGACUGAAACGUGGUCAAUAGCAGAUCAGGAGAUGCAACCCAUCCACAGAAACUUGGGGAGGAAAAGACUUCAGGAAAGAUGCAAAGGCCACGGCAGGAGGCGAGAACAGGGCCCGGAUAGAACCAUGAUCAGUGGAAACCUGUGAGACUGCUGGAUUGACUGUAACCGCGGGUAACCGUGACAUCUAGUGGCUCAAGUAGGAGGCAAACACCUGGAUGAGAAGCGCUUCCAUCCCCACGGCUACAAGGUAGAGUGACCGUGCAAACACUGUGAUGCUGUUCUUUUAGGGUAACAUGUACGAAAGCCCAUUUCUCCCAGUAGACAAAAAAAUGGGGGGGCAAACCCCCAAGUCCUGUACAUGGUGCACAUGCAGGCUGUCAUGUUAAAGCCAUUAGCAUGUUUGGCUGUGAACCCCCUUGAUUUUGCACGGCCCCCCAGGCACCGUGACAUCAUGUUAAAGGGGCACAAUUCAACAGUCAGCACAAAAUCAUUACGGCUCGAAUGCUGAGAGCUGAGCCUCUAUUUGGAC
ensembl:lncRNA